rnacentral:rRNA from 1 species
UACGUAGGUGGCAAGCGUUGUCCGGAUUUACUGGGCGUAAAGAGCGCGCAGGCGGUCGUUCAAGUCGCGUGUGAAAGCCCCCGGCUCAACUGGGGAGGGUCACGCGAUACUGAUCGACUCGAAGGCAGGAGAGGGAAGUGGAAUUCCCGGUGUAGUGGUGAAAUGCGUAGAUAUCGGGAGGAACACCAGAGGCGAAGGCGGCGACCUGGACGAACACUGACACUCAACUGCGAAAGCGUGGGGAGCAAACAGG